AUUGAACGCUGGCGGCAUGCUUUACACAUGCAAGUCGAACGGGAACAGGCCGCUAGGUGCUGACGAGUGGCGAACGGGUGGGUAAUGCAUCGGAACGGGCUCAGUCGUAGGGGGUAACUACUCGGAAGAUUAGGUAAUAGCGCAUACGAGCUAUGGAUGAAAGCGGGGGACCGUAAGGCCUCGCGCGAUUGGAGCGGCCGAUGUCAGAUUAGGUAGUUGGUGGGGUAAAGGCUCACCAAGCCAACGAUCUGUAGCUGGUCUGAGAGGACGACCAGCCACACUGGGACUGAGACACGGCCCAGACUCCUACGGGAGGCAGCAGUGGGGAAUUUUGGACAAUGGGCGCAAGCCUGAUCCAGCAAUGCCGCGUGCAGGAAGAAGGCCUUCGGGUUGUAAACUGCUUUUGUACGGAACGAAACGGCUCUGGUUAAUACCCGGGGAUAAUGACGGUACCGUAAGAAUAAGCACCGGCUAACUCCGUG
rnacentral:rRNA from 1 species